rnacentral:rRNA from 1 species
GAUGAACGCUGGCGGCGUGCCUAAUACAUGCAAGUCGAGCGAACGGACGAGAAGCUUGCUUCUCUGAUGUUAGCGGCGGACGGGUGAGUAACACGUGGAUACCCUACCUAUAAGACUGGGAUAACUUCGGGAAACCGGAGCUAAUACCGGAUAAUAUUUUGAACCGCAUGGUUCAAAAGUGAACGACGGUCUUGCUGUCACUUAUAGAUGGAUCCGCGCUGCAUUAGCUAGUUGGUAAGGUAACGGCUUACCAAGGCAACGAUGCAUAGCCGACCUGAGAGGGUGAUCAGCCACACUGGAACUGAGACACGGUCCAGACUCCUACGGGAGGCAGCAGUAGGGAAUCUUCCGCAAUGGGCGAAAGCCUGACGGAGCAACGCCGCGUGAGUGAAGAAGGUCUUCGGAUCGUAAAACUCUGUUAGUAGGGAAGAACAUAUGUGUAAGUAACUGUGCACAUCUUGACGGUACCUAAUCAGAAAGCCACGGCUAACUACGUG